AGUCUGACAUGUGUGUGAGUCAAUGGGCUAGUMAACCCGUAAGGCGCAAGGAAGCUGAUUGGUGGGAUCCCCCUAUGGGUUGCACCGCCGACCGACCUUGAUCUUCUGAGAAGGGUUCGAGUGUGAGCAUGCCUGUCGGGACCCGAAAGAUGGUGAACUAUGCCUGAGCGGGGCGAAGCCAGAGGAAACUCAGGUGGAGGCCCGYAGCGAUACUGACGUGCAAAUCGUUCGUCUGACUUGGGUAUAGGGGCGAAAGACUAAUCGAACCGUCUA
rnacentral:rRNA from 1 species